AUUGAACGCUGGCGGCAUGCCUUACACAUGCAAGUCGAACGGUAGCGCGGGGGCAACCCUGGCGACGAGUGGCGAGCGGGUGAGUAGCGCAUCGGAACGUGCCCAGUAGUGGGGGAUAGCUCGGCGAAAGCCGGAUUAAUACCGCAUACGACCCACGGGUGAAAGCGGGGGACCGCAAGGCCUCGCGCUAUUGGAGCGGCCGAUGCCCGAUUAGCUAGUUGGUGAGGUAAUGGCUCACCAAGGCGACGAUCGGUAGCUGGUCUGAGAGGACGACCAGCCACACUGGGACUGAGACACGGCCCAGACUCCUACGGGAGGCAGCAGUGGGGAAUUUUGGACAAUGGGGGAAACCCUGAUCCAGCCAUGCCGCGUGCGGGAAGAAGGCCUUCGGGUUGUAAACCGCUUUUGGCAGGAACGAAACGGCGCGGGCGAAUAUCCCGCGCUAAUGACGGUACCUGCAGAAUAAGCACCGGCUAACUACGUGCCAGCCGCCGCGGUAACAC
rnacentral:rRNA from 1 species